UUUUUGCGCACUAACACUGCAGGCCGUUUCUGCCCACAUGAGUAAUGAUGGAGUCAUUUCUCAGCAGCUUUUCACAAUUUAAUGAAGGGAAAUUGCUAAAUGCACAAGGCCUGGAUGGGAGUGGUGGGCUGAGGUGAUACUGGAACAGGGGAGACAGCGGUGGAAACAUUUCGAGCAGGUUUUUCAGCUUGGUGAGGUGGUGCAUGUCACAAUAAAUAAAUAAAAAUUAAAUAAAAUAAAUAAGUACAAAUAGAAUUCAAUAUCAACAAGUCUAUUAAAUGAGAGUAUAAUUGCUGAACAUAUUGGCAAAGGACAUGUCAGUACAGCAAACAACAACACUACUACUACUACUACUAAUAAUAAUAAUAAUAAUAAUAAUAAUAAUAAUAAUAAUACAGCCACAGUUACAUGCUGCUGGGGUUGAACAAUUUGACGGUUUAAUAUCAAUUAUCACAAUAUAUGUCAUCAUAAUCUUUUUUUCUGAGAUCUCACCAGAUAUCUUGAUAUCUUUUCCUCUGGUUUUAUGCAUUUAAUAUAAUUUAAAAAACAAUAAAUAAAUAAAAAGAAUUACACUGGUAAUAGAUAGAUAGAUAGAUAGAUAGAUAGAUAGAUAGAUAGAGAGAUAGAUAGAUAGAUAGAUAGAUAGAUAGAGAGAGAGAGAUACAUAGAUACAUAAAUACUAUAGAUAGAUAAAUAGACAGAGAGAUAGAGAGAGAUAGAUAGAUGGAGAGAUAGAUAGACAGAGAGAUAGACAGAGAGAUAGAUAGAUACUAUAGAUAGAUAGACAGAGAGAUAGAGAGAUACUGUAGAUAGAUAGAUAGACAGAGAGAUAGAGAGAUACUGUAGAUAGAUAGAUAGACAGAGAGAUAGAGAGAUACUAUACAUAGAUAGACAGAGAGAUAGAGAGAUACUGUAGAUAGAUAGACAGAGAGAUAGAGAGAUACUGUAGAUAGAUAGACAGACAGACAGAGAUACUGUAGAUAGAUAGAUAGACAGAGAGAUAGAGAGAUACUGUAGAUAGAUAGAUAGACAGAGAGAUAGAGAGAUACUGUAGAUAGAUAGAUAGACAGACAGACAGAGAUACUGUAGAUAGAUAGAUAGACAGAGAGAUAGAGAGAUACUGUAGAUAGAUAGAUAGACAGAGAGAUAGAGAGAUACUGUAGAUAGAUAGAUAGACAGAGAGAUAGAAUAGAUAGAUAGAUAGAUCCAGCUACAGGAUUUAUAAGCAUAAUGCCUUUUGUGACAUUUUUAUUCUUCUUCUUUUUUUAAUAGUUGCUUAUUUAUUAAUUAAUGCAUAUUUAUUUAUCUGUAAUUGAACUUAACGAGCAAUCAAACGAACUCCUGAGCACACGCCAUGAAGCAGUUCUGCGCCUCAGCUGGAUUCCAAAUCCCAGUGUCCGCGUCCUCAGGUGCGUAACUUGAUGCGCCACAGAAACCGCAGCACUUAGACACCCGAAACCCCCGUGUGCUCCUUCAUCUCCCUCUGCUCCAUCCUCCUGCUCCACCAGUCCUCUCCACAUACUC
ensembl:lncRNA